CGAUGUGGUGGUGAUUGGCAGAAUGUUUACUGCUCUGAAGAAGUGAAUGAAAGCAGCUUUUCUGAAUAUCU